CGCAAGUGGGCUCAUUUUCGUCUUCUGCGCAUGAGAAAGGAGGCGCGAAGGCGGGAGAGGAGGUUGGUGACGAUUCCGACUAAGCUCCGCCCUCGCACAUGUCGGGGGAGGCCGGUGGGUAAACAAACAUCGGCGUCGGCCAUGGCGGCCGUGUUGUAGCGGCGACCGCGAGUCUUUUAUUUAUUGUAGCCCGGUUAAAAUUUGCCGAGUCCACAAGAUCGAGCAGCUUUGUGCCCCUUACGAUUCCUCCGUCGUCUGCUAGAGGCAUUUCGAAGAUUCCAAGAUGAAGACGACGAAGAGCAUCAAAAAGAAGGCGCUUGCCUAGCCUCGCGAUUGAAACGCCGGUUGCGCCGGUCACUACGAGACCGCCGCCCGAUUGUACCGGUCCCAGAUGGGCUGUUGACAUCCAGAAACGCACCAACAGAUGGUGGUCAUACAGCGAUUGUGAAGACAUUCCCAUUUGGAUCCACAUUCCUAGUCCACUCAUUGAUAAUCUUUCCUUGUUUCAUCAAUGCCCAAGUAUGCCAGGUGCCGAGUGACUACUCGCAUGUGUUAGUGAUGGUGGCAUGCGAGGCUUCAGUAUUGUCGCUGCAGAUAGGGCUCACCCUCACACCAAUGCUGUUUUGGUGUACCUUUCCAUGGAAUUGUUUGGUUGAUUCCAAUUUCCUAGAAACGCCAAUAUUCAGUUUGGUGUGCCUUGCGGCUGAAAUAGAUUCGUCAAGGAGGUCUCGUCUCUUUCAUGGAAGUAACACCAUGUCAGCUGCUGUGCAUGAGCCACUUGGAACUGUUCGGACUGCUCUAAAGCACUUGUGAUUGACCUUACCUGUUGUGUCCAUGCUGAAAUGUAAAGUUCACUGAACCAAGUUUUACUAAUGAACAAACACAAUCAGUGGAAAGGUUGAAUGGCUUUAUUUGUUUUCUCGAAGUAUAUGCUAUUUCAUACAUAAUACAUGAUGCUGGCAAGGCUACUUUCAUUAGCAUGCAGGCAACUUAGUCUACAUUUUGUUUCACGAUAGCUUGGUGAACUGUGGAGGCUACGGCUCCUGCGACCCAGUAAGAAUGUCGGAGCGAGGCACAUGGACGCAUGUCACAGAAGCGUUCGUGUCACCGCGCCAAAUGCAAGAACCACCCGGCAGAACUGGCUGUCGUCUUACAACCACAUGCUCAAUUUGCCCAUGAAUCUGUGGCGGGUGCUAAUGCUAGGGCGAUGUUUUGAGCGGAAGCGGUCGAUUCACGGCUACAAUUGUUUGAACUUCGAUCACAAGCCAAGUUUUUCUCAAAAAAGUGUUGAUCUAUUUAAGUGUCGCUAGUAAGUAACAUAUGUCUUCGUCUUUCUUCAGUGUCGUGUAGUGUUGCGGUCCGAAAAAUCCGACGGCAACACUACUAAAAGAAGAAGAAGAAACAAAGCCUAGAACUAUGUUUUGUCGCAGAUGGCGCUCUUGCUGUGGCAAUAACGAGGACUCGACCGUGGAGUGUUGUCACGUGCCUGGCUCCGAUGCUCUUAUUGGGUCGCAAUGUUUGCCAAGUUACCGAGAAACGGAGUAUAGUGUCUCACCUGUACACGCUAUAAAACAAAUGAGAUGCCAGGUGUAGCAACUCACGCAGCUGUAGCCCUUAUAUUAUUCUUUGCUAUGCUGUUCGGAAGAAUACAUAAAAAAAUCAGUUUACAAAGCCGAAUCUAAUUUUUUGCCCUCUUGCAUGUUACAAAAAUAAAAGCAUCACGCCUGAACACCAA
rnacentral:lncRNA from 1 species